rnacentral:rRNA from 1 species
CCGCGUGCAGGAAGAAGGCCUUCUGGGUUGUAAACUGCUUUUGCCAGGGGAUAAAAUAUCCUUGCGAGGGUAAUUGAAGGUACCUGGUGAAUAAGCCACGGCUAACUACGUGCCAGCAGCCGCGGUAAUACGUAGGUGGCAAGCGUUGUCCGGAUUUAUUAGGUUUAAAGGGUGCGUAGGCGGUUUUGUAAGUCAGUGGUGAAAUAUGUCAGCUUAACUGAGAGGGUGCCAUUGAUACUGCAGAACUUGAGUACAGAUGAGGUAGGCGGAAUUGACGGUGUAGCGGUGAAAUGCUUAGAUAUCGUCAAGAACACCUAUAGCGAAGGCAGCUUACUAGGCUGUAACUGACGCUGAGGCACGAAAGUGUGGGGAUCAAACAGGAUUAGAUACCCUGGUAGUCCACACUGUAAACGUUGAUUACUCGCUGUGUGCGAUAUACAGUACGCGGCCAAGCGAAAGCGAUAAGUAAUCCACCUGGGGAGUACGCCGGCAACGGUG